rnacentral:tRNA from 1 species
GCCAGCGUGGCGGAACUGGUAGACGCAGCGGACUCAAAAUCCGCCGGGGCAACCCAUGAGGGUUCGAGUCCCUCCGCUGGUACCA